AACGAACGCUGGCGGCAUGCCUAACACAUGCAAGUCGAACGAAGGCUUCGGCCUUAGUGGCGCACGGGUGCGUAACGCGUGGGAAUCUGCCCUUUGGUUCGGAAUAACAGCUGGAAACGGCUGCUAAUACCGGAUGAUGACGAAAGUCCAAAGAUUUAUCGCCAGAGGAUGAGCCCGCGUUGGAUUAGGUAGUUGGUGGGGUAAAGGCCUACCAAGCCGACGAUUCAUAGCUGGUCUGAGAGGAUGAUCAGCCACACUGGGACUGAGACACGGCCCAGACUCCUACGGGAGGCAGCAGUGGGGAAUAUUGGACAAUGGGCGCAAGCCUGAUCCAGCAAUGCCGCGUGAGUGAUGAAGGCCCUAGGGUUGUAAAGCUCUUUUACCCGGGAAGAUAAUGACUGUACCGGGAGAAUAAGCCCCGGCUAACUCCGUG
rnacentral:rRNA from 1 species